AUGGUUGGUCCUUGGUCAUGGCCUGCCUGCUCCACAGGUGCUCCGUCCGUCCGUCCGCCCGAGGGGAUGCUGCGCAACAGAUCGAGGAGAGCGGUUGGUGCCGGAGGCGGGGGCGGAGGAGGUCUGAUGCCUCAACCUGAGCCCCUCGCCGCCGCCGCUGCUCAGUCUUCUUCUACUUCCCCGACGCCGUACAUGGCGCUGCCGCAGGCCGGGUUCCUGGACGGCGCGGAGCAGGGGCCGUCCUCCUCCAUGAGCCCCACCUCCAUUCUCGAGACCAAGCACUUCUGCUGCUCCGCCCUGCCGCCCUUCCUCUCGGAGAGAAGCCUCAGGAAGGCGCACAUGGAGAUGGCUGCUCCGGAGCCGGCAAGCGUCGGCCUCGCCGACGUGCUCCGGGAGCACGGCGGCGCCAAGGCCGGCGGCCGCAAGGUGGUGUUCGGCUCGCAGCUCAGGAUCCAGGUCCCGUCCGGCAGGGCCGCGGAGCUGGUGUCCUCCCCGAUAGAGUUCGGCGUCAAGAACCGGGACGCCGUGCUCUCCCCGGCCAGGAGGUUCCUGCCGGAGGUCGUGAGCUCGCCCACCGCCCGGGUGUUCGCCGCCGGCGUCGCCCCCGGGGAAGCGGCCAUGUCGGAGGACUACACGUGCGUCAUCUCCCGCGGCCCCAACCCGAGGACCAGGCACAUCUUCGACGACUGCAUAGUCGAGAGCUGCGGGGAUGCGCUCGUCGACAAGGCGGACAGCGGACCGGGCGGCGACGCCGUGCCGGCGAGCGGUUCCUUGAGCUCUUGCCAUGCAUGCCGCAGGCAACUUGCAGGGCAUGCCAAUGAUACCUUCAUCCAUCGGGGUGGCAGAGCAUUCUGCAGCGACGAGUGCCGGUACCGGGAAAUGAUCUUCGACGAGGCGGUGGACAACCUGCGCUAG
rnacentral:rRNA from 1 species